UACGUAGGGUGCGAGCGUUGUCCGGAAUUAUUGGGCGUAAAGAGCUCGUAGGCGGUCUGUCGCGUCGAUCGUGAAAACUUGGGGCUUAACCCUGAGCUUGCGGUCGAUACGGGCAUGACUGGAGUUCGGCAGGGGAGACUGGAAUUCCUGGUGUAGCGGUGAAAUGCGCAGAUAUCAGGAAGAACACCUAUGGCGAAGGCAGCACUCUGGGACGGUACUGACGCUGAGACGCGAAAGCGUGGGGAGCGAACAGG
rnacentral:rRNA from 1 species